GUGACUUCUGCCCAGUGCUCUGAUUGUCAAUGCGAAGAGAUUCAGCCAAGCGCGGGUAAACGGCGGGAGUAACUAUGACUCUCUUAAGGUAGCCAAAUGCCUCGUCAACCAAUUAUUGACGCGCAUGAAUGGAUCAACGAGAUUCCUGCUGUCCCUAGUUGCGGUCUGGUGAACCAACAGCCAAGGGAACGGGCUUGGAUGUGUCAGCGGGGAAAGAAGACCCUGUUGAGUUUGACUCUAGUUUGAUAUUGUGCAACGACAUGGAGGGUGUAGCACAGGUGGGAGGCGAGUGCCAUUGCCACAACAGGCGAAGCUCAGCUUCAAUGGAUGGACAGAUGCUUGGAUGGACAGAGUUGCGAUGAUUGGGGAGACUCCAGCCCAGAGAAGACGACGACACCCAUGUGUGCGUCGCACAGGUCUGUGAUGAAUUGUGUAGCCCAGCGCUGCUGUGGCAGCCCAGAGAUAUUGCUCAGAUGUAAGCUCGACUUGGGGAAAGAAGACGACACAUGGCCAACCGUGCUUCGGCUGUUCCUAGAUCGCACGGUGUGUCGCAAGUAUGAUGCUCAGAGAUGCCUUGGUGCAAACCAGCAGUGAAAUACCACUACCUUCACCGUCGUUUUACUCAUCGAGUGGUCUGGGAUCGGCGGCCAUUCAAUCAGCUCUUCCCUCGCGGAGGGGCUGUGGCCAAUACCCGCUUCGUGCGCAAAGUGUGGCACUCGUGCUGCACAACCCUGGAGCUGCAUUCCAAUCAGAAGCCUUGAGACAUCGAUCAGUUGGGGAGUUUGGCUGGGGCGGCACGCCUGUUACAGGACAACGCAGGCGUCCUGAAGCAAUGCUCAGAUGGAACAGAAAUCUCUCAUGGAGGAGCAGGCCAAAGGUGCUGCUGAUGCUGCGACUUCCAGUGCAAGUCCGAAACGUGCAAGUGUGGCCUAGCGAUCCUUUGGUUGAGUGCACGAGUUUGGGAUAUUGAAGCCAGAGGUGUCAGAAAAAUUACCACAGGGAUAACUGGCUUGUGGCUGCCAAGCGUUCAAAGCGACGUCGCUUUUUGAUCCUUCGAUGUCGGCUCUUCCUAGCUUCCCACCCGCA
rnacentral:rRNA from 1 species